rnacentral:rRNA from 1 species
AGACGGAGGGUGCAAACGUUGUUCGGAAUCACUGGGCAUAAAGCGCACGUAGGCGGCUAAGUCAGUUCGGUGUGAAAGCCCCCGGCUCAACCGGGGAACGGCAUCGAAUACUGCUUGGCUUGAGGACGGUUGGGGUGAGUGGAACUCUUGGUGGAGCGGUGAAAUGCGUAGAUAUCAAGAGGAACACCAGUGGCGAAAGCGGCUCACUGGACCGUAUCUGACGCUGAGGUGCGAAAGCUAGGGUAGCGAACGGGAUUAGAAACCCCAGUAGUCC